GACGAACGCUGGCGGCGUGCUUAACACAUGCAAGUCGAACGAAGAGCGAUGGAAGCUUGCUUCUAUCAAUCUUAGUGGCGAACGGGUGAGUAACGCGUAAUCAACCUGCCCUUCAGAGGGGGACAACAGUUGGAAACGACUGCUAAUACCGCAUACGAUCUAAUCUCGGCAUCGAGGAAAGAUGAAAGGUGGCCUCUAUUUAUAAGCUAUCACUGAAGGAGGGGAUUGCGUCUGAUUAGCUAGUUGGAGGGGUAACGGCCCACCAAGGCGAUGAUCAGUAGCCGGUCUGAGAGGAUGAACGGCCACAUUGGGACUGAGACACGGCCCAGACUCCUACGGGAGGCAGCAGUGGGGAAUCCUCCGCAAUGGACGAAAGUCUGACGGAGCAACGCCGCGUGAGUGAUGACGGCCUUCGGGUUGUAAAGCUCUGUUAAUCGGGACGAAAGGCCUUCUUGCGAACAGUUAGAAGGA
rnacentral:rRNA from 1 species